CGGCCUAGAGAGUCCAGCCAUGCCGCGUGUGUGAAGAAGGUCUUCGGAUUGUAAAGCACUUUAAGUUGGGAGGAAGGGCAGUUACCUAAUACGUGGUUGUUUUGACGUUACCGACAGAAUAAGCCCCGGUUAACUCUGUGCCAGCAAGCGGGGGA
rnacentral:rRNA from 1 species